rnacentral:lncRNA from 1 species
GUGACCUCUUUUCAAUGUGUAAUAUAUCUUCUAAAAAUCUGGGACAUUCUUAUGAAUUAAAUUUUAAAUUGAAGGAAAACUUUCAUUUUUUAUGAACUAACAUUAAAAUUUGGGGACAUACUGUCUUUUUUCUUUCUGAAUGGACUUUCACAUAUUUGGGAAAAAUUUCAUUUUUUGCAUGAACUAUUGAAUUUCUAGACCAACUUCUAAAAAUAUCUAGAAGAACUUUUAAAAUUUGUAGACUUCAGAUGAAGUUUAAUUUGUUUUUCAAAACGAACUUUCAAUAGAUGCCAGACUAACUUUCAAAUUUCCAAAAAAACUUUUAAAAAACUGUAUGGAAUUUAAAACACUAUAGACCAACUUUCAUUAGAUCUCACACAACUUUCAAAUUUUACAAACGAAACCUUUUUGGGCG